rnacentral:misc_RNA from 1 species
CAAACUUCCGCCAGAGUUCGUUUGUACCAAACCAAACUCUUCCAUGCAGGCAUUGUGGGAUAUGUUAUUCUCCCCAAAUCUCGCGAACUACUUUUGUACGAGAAGAACGUGAUGAAACAACAAAAUAGACUGACUCAUGAUACGUGAUGGCCAACACCAACAGUCCUCUCAAGAUGGCCAACAUCAACACCCCUCUCAAGACAAUUUUCAGAUGUGAAGGAAGUCAGUCUCUCAGAACGGAACCGCACUGCUUCAUAUGUCUACGUUCCCCAUCAGGGAAAUUAAGGAAUAUAGUAACUAAUGUAGCUCUCCCAGAUAAUAACCCAAUUUUGAAAGACAUAAGAAAAUGUUUAAACAUGGAUUACAAUGCACAGUUCUCAAUUCAUGAGUGUAAGAUAUGCUUGACAUGUAAGAGACGUUUAGAAAAUUGUGUAGAAUUUCAGAAUAAAUUGAAUGAAGCUAUUGAUAGAAAAUCAACCUCAACAUGUUCAACAAAACGAAUGGCGUUUUCUCAGACUCCUAGUUCUUCGAAAAAAGAGAAUGUCAGUGAUGCCAGCAAUAAAGAGAAUAUACCUGCCAGGAAAGUCAACUGUAAGAAGAAAAAGAAACUUUUUUUAGAACUGGAUACUGAUGUACAAAGUGAUGUAAAGAAAUCUGACAUGUGUCAAUCAGAUCAUAACUAUGGAAGUUUUGCAUCACCAGUUGAUAUGGCACAUAUAAACUCAGUAAGAGCUAAACAAGAACUCUUUUGCAAGAAAAACCACCAGGAUCAGUGUUAUUCCGCAGAUGAUAUUUUCAAGAAUAAAAUAUUACUGUCUGAAGUUCAAAAACUGAUUUUGCUAGAGACUGAAGUCGUUGCGGACAAGUUAUGCUCUCUCAGCAUUCAACCUGGUCCAUCAGUCCUGAGAACAUUACAAGAUCCAUCUUCCUUAAAAUCAGAGGAUAUUUUGCAUAAAUGUCUGCUUGAAUUUCAAAACUGUUUUCCAUUUGUUUUUAGAGUUUUUCAGACAUUAGCAUCUCCAUUACAUGCUGAUCAACAGAGAACUAAUACUUGUAAUUCCACAAUUGCUAUGAUGUAUGCUAUGGCCAUGAAUAGGAGAAAUAAAGAUUUGUGUGCCAUGCAGAAGAUAAACACUUGCAUUGCCCUUAGAUUUCACGCAGGCAAUGACCUCUUAGAUAUAUUCAACAAGACUAGUAUAACCCUUUCUGCAGACAGUAAAUAUACAUUUUUGGACAAAAUGGGAGAUUUAAACACUGAAGGCAUUGUGCGAAGUGUUCAGAUGGGAAUAGGAGGGAAAGUCACAGUUGAUAAUAUUGAUGGAAUGACCAUAGCAAGAGAUGUUAGACUUACUGGAGGUAAUAAACAUUAUCAUUACACUGCAUCUACCUAUUACCCUGAUCGUGCAGAUUUGACAGAUCUUGAAGAAAGCACCACACUAACACCUCCAGAGGAAAUUAAUUUUGAUGUAUUCUAUCUCAGUGCAGAAGAGGAGAGCAGGUUAAAAGAAAUGUAUGGUUAUAUGGUGGGUCGAACCUUAGUUAAAUAUUUCCCAGCUAUGAAAUGGAUGGAACCAUGUAUCCCUUCACACAUUCCUCAUCAGUAUAGUCAGCAGAUGGAAAGCAAGUCACAGAUAUUUCCCCUUAAGGAGGUGAAUUUGAAACAGUUAAAAUAACACUUGGAGGAGACCAGCUUGUUAGAGUAAGGAUGAGUGGGGCUAAAGAUCUCCUUGCUGGGGCUCACACUGCAGCUGAAAGAAUGGAAAUAUUUGAUCCUGUUGUAGAAGAACUCUUCCAUGUCGAACAGGAUUAUCUUGAGAAAUUGUUCAAACGAUUCUUUUCACCAAAGACUUCACGACAGGAAGGAAGUUUGGCUUUCUUUAAAUGUCAGCUGAGGAGGACCAACGUAAAUGGUCAAGUAAAAGGAGGGUUCCAGGCACACAGCGACUUUCUACACACAGUUGGUGAAGCCUUACUUAUUCAGCUAUGUAUGAAGAAAUUUUCAAUGGACAGCUUAGAGAGUGAGCCUGUCAUUCCAAAUUUAAACCUGCCAGAAAACAUCCGAAACACUCACGUUAAAACAAGAAAACCUCUCUUUUGGAAGGUUGUUCAAGAAGUUGUGAAUGAAAUAUUCAUGGAAUUUCAUAACCCAGGAUGUUUGCCUCCUGUGCACUUGGAUUUUGAGGAUACUUCUGUGAUUAUUCCCAGAGAACAACUCUGCAAAAAUGGCUAUGUAGACCUGAAAAUGUCAACUGGUGAAGUUUACAGAGUAUUUAAUUCACAUGAAACCACAGAUGACUUGCAGAACUACUCCAUACAAUUACUUAUGUGGUAUAUCCAUUUUUAUGAAUUUCAAGAUGGGAUACGAGAAGGGGACCCUUUCAGAACCAACAUUAACUUAAAAAGAAUGAUUCCCUUCUUUUACAGUCAUUCCGUUCGGUCCAAGUAUGCAGUUGAGUGUAUAGAUUAUAUCCUCAAAACAGAAGUCAUGCUGCCAAAACUCACAGCUAUGAGAGUUAGACUUGGUAGUUUCGUUAACCCACAUGGAAAGAAGGGGGGAAAUAAGCCAGCUGACAUGCAACAAGAAAAUAACAUUCUUGUUCUUAAAGAUGUCAUAAAAGGUUUAGGUGCAAACAAAACAACCAAAGCUAUGGAACGUGCAUCUGCAGCAGCCCCUGUUGUAGCAGAAACUGUAGAAAAUUAUAUGAGCAAUAUUCGGUGCAUAUCAAGGAGUGGAAAACACAGUACAAAAGACAAUUUGGAAGAUGUGACAUUUCUUGUUCAAAUAUUAGGUGGAAUAGACCCAUUUAGUGUCAUUGACAACCGUAAGAUGAAUUUUUACAAUAGUUUCAGGAAAAAUCCAUUCUCAUCUAUAUCUUCAGAAUUUCAUUCCCAUCUAUUCAAAAUAGUUGAGCGCUUGAAAAGAUGUCAGAACAUUGACCUUGAAUACUACAACCAGUAAGGAUCAUUUAGGCCCAUUGGCCUCUUGUGUAACUACUUAUUAUGUUAACUUUAAUCUGAAACUCUAUAGCAAAUAAUUGAAUUUAUAUUACCAUAUAACUUAAAAAUCCUGUUAAAUCUUGAAUAUGUUAUAUUUGCAUACUUGAGACAUGAAAGAUAAGGAUGAAUUAAGGUUAUCAAGGCAAUCAGUACUGUAAUUUGUACAUUAAUAAAGAUUUAGUGGU